rfam:Acidaminococcus sp. CAG:917 genomic scaffold, scf27
ACCGGUGAUUAUAGCAAGGAGGAUCCACCUGUUCUCAUACCGAACACAGAAGUUAAGCUCCUUAGCGCAGAAAGUACUUGAUUGGACACGAUCUGGGAGGAUAUGACGUUGCCGGUU